rnacentral:rRNA from 1 species
UACGAAGGGGGCUAGCGUUGCUGGAAUCACUGGGCGUAAAGCGCACGUAGGCGGCUUUCUAAGUCAGGGGUGAAAUCCUGGAGCUCAACUCCAGAACUGCCUUUGAUACUGGAGAGCUUGAGUCCGGGAGAGGUGAGUGGAACUCCGAGUGUAGAGGUGAAAUUCGUAGAUAUUCGGAAGAACACCAGUGGCGAAGGCGGCUCACUGGCCCGGUACUGACGCUGAGGUGCGAAAGCGUGGGGAGCAAACAGG